ACAAGGAAUUCAAUUCGGCCCUGAAACUGAAACAUCACGUUUUGAUCUCUUCUUAGUUACUGAUGAUUUAUUGUUCACUGUUUAGUAGGUGCAAUCCUAGAUCUAGUGGAUUAUUCCUUUCAUUUGUGUCAGAUUUGUUGCAAAGAAAUUGGGACUACAGCCAUUUACCUGCUGAUAACCACAGGCUGCUGGAUUUUGUCUAACAGGGCCUUCUUUCCUGACUUUCCUUAAUGGCUGACAUGCUUUGAAGUCAGUUAUGUGUUUGACCCUGAAGACACUGCUGAGGUGAAAUGGUCAAGCAAUGCAGUGAAGCAGGCCUGCUGGAAAGCAAACUGAGAGCCUUCUUUUACCAGCAUUCAACUCCGCACUACUGGACAGACUCAUCAUUUCCAACGUUCUCUAUGUUUUCAUCAACCUUCCACCAUCCCCAUCAGUACUGGACUCUUUUCUGGACUUCCUUAUCAGUUGGUGAGAUCAUUCCUUUUCUGUUUGUUUUGGAUUUUUUUCUCCUUUAAUUUGAUACUUUGUUUCCUGUAUUUUUUGGUUUUGUUCUUUUUAUUACUCUGGUUUUCAAUGACCCUGCACUGCUGGACUUGUUUAGACUUCACUUUCAUUCAUCAUCCAUUGCCAUCAAGUGUCUUUGAAAUUGUUUUCCAUCAGUAAUUAUUUCAUUCACCUUUAUCUUUCUCUGUCUGCCUGUGCAUUGGUUUUGUGUUUGUGUGUGUUGUGUUUGAGGCCCACUGGACACUACACCCAUUUCUCCUUUGUGUUUAUUUUUUGGCCUUGUGUUUUGUUCACUUUACUUUCCUACAUACUUGCCUGUUCCCUACAAUUAUUUGUGUUCUUUCUUAUGAUGAUUGUUGUUGCUGCUUUCAACCUUUCUUCUUUUUCUCUCCUUUAUCUGUUCUUUACUUAUUUUGUAUUGUUUAUUUCAUUUAUUGAUAUUAUUGUUCUGUGACAGAAAUACAAUGAGUUCUGGUGAUAAAUCUUCCUCCCGACCUGUGAGGGCGCUAAAGAACGGGAGGAGAAGUAUCUGGAAGGGCUGGCCUGACAGUUCGUUUCCGGGACCGGGAAGUGGGUCAGCCUGGAAGGAAGCGAGACUCUGUUGUAAGACCGUAUUGAUUUGACAGGUAAACGAGGGGCAGCUGCAACCGUUUACCUAGAUAUCAUGCGGGAUUACAUAUAGGGGCCAGGGUAACGCUGUUCUUUUCCUUCGUUUGGGUUAGCGUUUGGAGAGAGAAGGAUCGAGAGAGGAGCUCUCAUUGUUAAAAAGAAUAAGAGAAAGAAUUACGUGUUGUGUUUGUGUAAUUGUCUGUGUUUUUCACCACCAGACAGUUAAAGCACUACUCCGGAGCUGUCGCCAAGGGUCAGCACUAUCCGGAGCACCACUGCACCCCGCACUAUCUGUGUUUAAACAAAAGCACCAUCACGACUGCACUCACCCAGGACUGGUGACCGUCUGUUUGUUUUUGUUCGGGACUGUGCCCUGUUUAUUGUUAUCCCCGUGCAUUACACAUUGUUGUGUAUCGCCGGGGAUUUAGUUAUUUUUCGGUCACCAGACCUGGAAAAAGAAUAAAGCACUUUUUCACUGGAAUACCGUUGUCUGCCUGUCACUCCUGCACCGCAUCACCGCUACACCUGUUCCCCUUACCAGGCACUUUGCCACAGUUCACAACAAUAAACUGGUUGUUUGUGAAAUGGACACCUCUGAUGUCCCUGCUUCUGCUGUAUGUCACUCUUGCUGGCUUAUUAUUUAGUUAUAGGAAUAGGGCCAGUAGUAUCUCCUUAGGGAGGACAGGGCAGUUGCCUCA